CCUACGGGAGGCUGCAGUGGGGAAUAUUGGACAAUGGGGGCAACCCUGAUCCAGCCAUGCCGCGUGUGUGAAGAAGGCCCUCGGGUUGUAAAGCACUUUCAGUGAGGAAGAACGCCUGGUGGUUAAUACCCAUCAGGAAAGACAUCACUCACAGAAGAAGCACCGGCUAACUCCGUGCCAGCAGCCGCGGUAAUACGGAGGGUGCGAGCGUUAAUCGGAAUUACUGGGCGUAAAGCGCGCGUAGGUGGCUUGAUAAGCCGGUUGUGAAAGCCCCGGGCUCAACCUGGGAACGGCAUCCGGAACUGUCAAGCUAGAGUGCAGGAGAGGAAGGUAGAAUUCCCGGUGUAGCGGUGAAAGGCGUAGAGAUCGGGAGGAAUACCAGUGGCGAAGGCGGCCUUCUGGACUGACACUGACACUGAGGUGCGAAAGCGUGGGUAGCAAACAGGAUUAGAUACCCGAGUAGUC
rnacentral:rRNA from 1 species